AGAGAUUAAGUCACUUGCCCAAGGAGGCACAGGGAGUCAGUGGUGGGGCUCUGGGAGCUGAACAAACUAUCCGUGGACAGUCUGACAACAUGCAGCAAGACAUCUCAAAAGGUACCUGCUUUCGACCGGGUCACCCCACUUUGAGAAAUUGAGGAGUAGAAUCAGGCAAGGGCCGCUACAACUCACCUCUGCUCCUGAUGCCCGUGUCUUGAAACUUAUUUUGUGUAUUGAGUCCCAUUUUGAAUUGUUUCGGGUAGGAGGGUAAAUCCAGAUUCUGUUCCUCUCUGUGGUCAGAAGCAGAAAUCCCUGGGAGUUCCCAUCAUGGCUCAGUGGUUAACAAACCCAACUAGUAUCUAUGAGGAGGUGAGUUCGCUCCCUGGCCUUGCUCAGUGGGUUAAGGAUCCAGCGUUGUUGCCCUGAGCUGUGGUGUAGGUUGCAGACACUGCUCGGAUCCUGCGUUGCAGCUGCAGCUCCGUUUCAACCCCUAGCCUGGGAACUUUCAUAUGCCGCAAGUGUGUCCCUAAAAAGACAAAAAAAAAAAAAGGAAGCAGAGGUGCCUGCAUUAGCUGUGAUUAAUGACUAUCACUGACCCUACACUCCAUUGCCUUUUUCAGGACCCAUCUUUAGCAAAGGGAGGCACAGAGAGGUUAACUGACUUGCCCAGGCUACACAGCUAGUAAGUGGUAGAGCAGGAUCGGCACCAGCCUUGGCUGAUCCAAAGUUCCUUCUCUCUAGUCCAACCGUUACCUCUGGGAAGAGAGCUGGCCUGACCCAGGGGUGGGUGGCUAAGCAGCAGCAGAGCAAGGGGCCAGGCUUGUGCUUCAAGCUCUGGGACUCACAGUCACCAACUGCAGGGUGGGCUGGGACUAAAGGCCAGACUGAGGCAGGAUGAGGGCUUUGCAGGUUCUGGAGCCCAGGUUAGCUGCUUGCUCCUUCCCUCAGACCAUGGUGGUAUGUGGAGGUCAGAGGCGGGGCCUGCCAGCCUCAGCAAUUGGGGUGGGGCUGCCCAAUGCCAGCAACAGGCAGAGGCUGGGGCAGUGGGAGGGUCCAUGCGACAGCUUACCCGUGCCCUCACCUAUGGGGCAGGACCCCAACUGGCCCCUGCAUGGCUUCGGAGUGGGCUAUGGGGAAGGAGACCUUGUCUCCCUGGGCCUCCUCAUUCUUCAGUGCACUGAAGGGUCAGCGGGUUUGCUGCUGCUGCUGCUGAGAGAAUGGAGAAGGGAAGAGAAACUGACCUUCCAAAGAUGGAUGACUUUGACCUAGCCAUGGCCAUCCUGCAAGCGUGCCUCAGGUCUAGAAGGAAGGCAGGUCCUCCAGCAUUAGAGAACCUGCAUCUAAGGACACAUCUGGGCAAGUGACCUCAUCUCCCUGGGCAUCUGUUUUCUCAGCUAUUAAAAAGGAAAUAUUCCCAUCAUGAUUGCAAGGCUUAGACGCAAUAUCUUGUCAGUAGCCUAACCUGGGUCUGCCCCAGAGGAGGUGCUUAAGAACUAGGAAUGAAGGAAUUCAUUGGAUGAAUGAGUGGUGCAUGCACGUGUAUUUGAUCACAGAGCCUUUUUGCCUACUCUCCUCCCAGGUUUGCAGAUCUCAAGAGAGGUGGAGACUUUCCAUAGCCUACCUCUCCCUACCGGUAUCUACCUUCCCACUCUCUCUCCGCAACCCCUAUGAGAAGGAGGCUGAGCUCAGAUCUGCCUGCAAACCUCACAGCAGGAGUCAAGGGGUGCCAGCCUUUGCUUGAACUCAGUGGUUUUGCUCGCUUCCCCUGGGACCUCUGGAGCUGGGAAGCCAGUUUCUCAUCAUUACCAUAAAAUCUUGUUUUGUUCCAAAUGGAAGCUGCUGACCAUUAGAACUGUGAUCCUCAUUCUUGCAACACCCUCUUGUUCCUCUCAAAAAAGGACUUAGCAGGUGAAUCAAGUUGCCAUUGUUCUGAAAUAGGAUAUUGUACUCACAUGUAGAAAAUGAAGAAAUACAUGGAAAAAAGGAAGGAAACAAAAAUAAGUAGAAGUUCAAAAAGUCCUACCUAGUGUCAGAGACAGUCGCUGCUAACAUUUUAAUGUAUAUUUGUCCAGUCUUUUUUUCUGUGCUGGAGUUAAGAGUUACAUUUUAAUGAAUGUAUUUUUUAAAAGGUUUAAAGAAAGCAGGCUCCUAAUAAAACCUCUGUAGUAAGAAGGUGAAAAGUAAGUUGAUCUCUCAGCCCUGCCCAGUACCCCCCUUGCUCUGCCCACAGGUAACCUACGCUACAUUUUCUUGGAAGGACUGUGGUUAUACGAGGCUGUGUGUGCAUGUGUGUGAGAGCACCUGUAUGUGUGUUUGAUAUCAGAGUGUAGCUACUAUUCUGCAAAUGCUUCUUUACUCAGCCACCCUCGGGAAAGUGUCCCCAUGCCAGUCAAUCAACACUCCUCCCCACACACUAUUCUAUUCAAUGGCUGCACUUUAAUUUAUUGAACCUAUUUCCAGCUGUUACCAAUUAUAAAUCAUCUUGACCACCCGGUGUUGUCAAACUGGUAAAUGUUAGGCUCUCUGGAGGAGGAAAAAAAAAAAAAAAGGCCCUGAUUUGCAGUGCUUGCCCAUUUCCAUGGUGUAAAUAUUCCUGUUCCACUAUUGUUGAUUUUAAGCUACCGAGGACCACAAAGGAGCACAGUCCAUAGGCUCCCUUGCAAGAAGCUUCCAGCAUGCCCAGAACCCCUGCUGGUGACCUUUGGUAUUACCUCGAUGCCUACUCCUAAUUCUUUCCUGGGAAUACAUUCCCCAAAGUGAAAUGGCUGUCAAAGCUCACUUGCAAUCCCAAAGCGGUGGAUGAGCAAUCCCGAAUUGCCCUCCAGAAAGAUGUUAUCCAUGUAUGCUCCCUCAACCUCUGUGAGAGAUCCCUGUUCAUCUCACCCUGCCUCUCCAGCUGUGGCUGUGAUUUAUCAUACCAUCUCACCUGCCUGAUAGGUAGAAUAAUGGUAGCUCAUCGUUAUUAUUAUUUUCACUAUUUUCCAUGAGUUACUUCUUUUGUUCAAACUUGUAGUCAAGUGAAAUUUUAUUCUGUCAACUUUCAGAGCAUUUCAUGAAGCCUCUGGGGAAAGCAAUUUGGGAACAUGGCUGUUGUGCAUAGCUUUGUUUAUCAAUGAGAUCAAAUAGGAGAUGAAUUCACUCACCAACAGCAUCAAAGCUUUUCCCAGAAGGUACCAUGCUUGCUGCAUUGCUCAACUCCAUCUUGUCCCAGUCACUCCACCCCUUACACCCUUCUCCCUCUGCCUUUGUCCUAGGCGAACAUGCCUGGAAAAUGCCUCGCUAUCCACUUAGCAUGCUGUGGGAACAGGUGCCAACUAAGAUUUGGGCUCAAGGAAGGUCAAGGUGGGCAGUAUGAAGGAUCUGAGGUGCUUCACAAACAAAGGAGGUGUUCUAGAGAGGUAGCUGUGGGGACUUGGACAGGUUAUUCCACCCGCUGAGCCUCAGGGCCCUCAUCUUCAAAAUGGGAGUGGGAGUUGAGGUGGUACUGGCACAGCCUACGCAAGACUGUGGUGAGAAUUAAACGAGCAAAUGCAUUUUAAGUGCUCAGCACAGGGCCUGGCAUCGAGUCGGUGUGCAACAAUUGACAAUUAUCAUCACUGUCACUGUCAUCAUCAUCUUAUCACACUGCCGAGUACGAGUACGUUGUGAACCCCAGAGAUGUGUACGAAUGUGAAGUAGUGCCAUUACAAUCCUCCUUGUUUCUUCCAACCUCUCUGCUCUGAUCAGGAAGGUCACAAAUCCAGCUCCAAAGUCAGUCUUCUCUGGAAUGGACUGGACCCUUUUUGGAUUCUUUGAACCCCGUGCCUUCAUUUGACCAAACAUAACUUUUCUCAGAGGAGGGCUAAAGCCUUCUUCAAGGACCUUCCUCCGACAGGUCCUUUCUGGCUUUGCUUAGGUGGGGACAAAAGUAUCUUAAUGGGGCGCUUACCUCCUGUCUCCCCCAGCCAAUUUGUCCUGCCCAAGAUGGCUUCAUGGGUCUUUCAUCCAUCCAUGCAUGCAUCCAUCCAUCCUUGCGUCCAUCCAUCCAUCCAUCCAUCCACCCAUCCAUCCAUCCACUCAUGCAGCCAACAAAUCGAUUGCUUACAUCUGUUCAACAUAGAAUCCCAGAAAUCCGGACACUUGCCAGGGGGUCUAAUUUCAAGCAAACUUUAAAAACAGCAACACCAUCGGAGUUCCCGUCGUGGCUCAGUGGUUAACGAAUCCAAUUAUGAACCAUGAGGUUGCAGGUUCGAUCCCUGGCCUCGCUCAAUUGGGUUAAGACUCCAGUGUUGCCGUGAGCUGUGGUGUAGGUUGCAGACACGGCUCGGAUCCCUCGUUGCUGUGGCUCUGGCAUAGGCCAGUGGCUACAGCUCUGAUUUGACCCCUAGCCUGGAAACAUCCAUAUACCGCGGGAGCAGCCCGAGAAAACGGCAAAAAG
rnacentral:lncRNA from 1 species